GGCUUGGAUUGGGCGGAUCUCACGGUGGGGGUGGGAAUCGAAGCGUUACUUCCGGGCCGGGGGGGGGGGUCCGGCUUCACCGAUGAGGAGGGGUUUCCGGGUCCGGACCCUACGGGUUCAGUUAGUGGCCGGUACCUCCUUGUCCCCUGUCUGCGGGGCCUCGGAGCGGAGUCUGAGCCCCAGCCCCGCCGCCUCUCGGGUCCGCUCCCCUUUCCCACAGUCUCCAGGCGUGAGGUUAGAGACCCAGGGGCUAGGACUGAGCCCUGGAUACCUAGGACAAACCACCAGAGAUCCUGUUGUCUUUCCCACAAGCAGGAUUUUAAAUGUUACAACCUGGUGUGAGCGCCCAGCAAUAGUGAAGAGAAGAACUGUGGGUCCUGGAAAUGUGGACACAAAGGAAGCUUCUGAAGGGAGAGGGCAUGAGAAGGUGACUGCUCAGAACUACUUAGAUCCUUUCAACACCAAGAAGUUGGAUAUUAACAGUGUGACUACUGAGAACAAAUCAUCUGAUUCUGUUUAGCUACUUCCUCACUGGAUUGAGUUUCCCUUCCUUACCUGCCUGAGCAGAAGAACAGGGGUCCUUUGACAUUUUUUCCCUCUCUGUACAGUUGACUUCAGGGUUUUCAUCUUGUUCAAUUUCCUUCCUCUGUGUCACAUUUUUUAAGGUACCAUUUCUUUUUUUUUCCAUGUAAUUUAUUCUUCUUUCCAAUUACGUAUAAAAAAAUUUUCACAUUUGUUUUUAAAAUUUUUAACUUCCUAAUUCUCCCCCCUCCUUCCACUUCCCUCUUAUUAAGAAAUCAAGCGAUAUGAUAUAGGUGAUACAUGUGCAAUCAUGCAAAACAUAUCUGGAUAUUAGUCAUGUUUUGAAAGAAAACAUAGAUCAAAAAAACCC
rnacentral:lncRNA from 1 species